GACGGAGGAUGCAAGCGCUAUCCGGAAUUAUUGGGCGUAAAGAGCUCGUAGGCGGUUUGUCGCGUCUGCCGUGAAAGUCCGGGGCUCAACUCCGGAUCUGCGGUGGGUACGGGCAGACUAGAGUGAUGUAGGGGAGACUGGAAUUCCUGGUGUAGCGGUGAAAUGCGCAGAUAUCAGGAGGAACACCGAUGGCGAAGGCAGGUCUCUGGGCAUUAACUGACGCUGAGGAGCGAAAGCAUGGGGAGCGAACAGG
rnacentral:rRNA from 1 species